rnacentral:rRNA from 1 species
UACGGGGGGGGCAAGCGUUGUUCGGAAUUACUGGGCGUAAAGGGCUCGUAGGCGGCCAACUAAGUCAGACGUGAAAUCCCUCGGCUUAACCGGGGAACUGCGUCUGAUACUGGAUGGCUUGAGUUUGGGAGAGGGAUGCGGAAUUCCAGGUGUAGCGGUGAAAUGCGUAGAUAUCUGGAGGAAUACCGGUGGCGAAGGCGGCAUCCUGGACCGGCAUUGACGCUGAUGAGCGAAAGCUAGGGGAGCAAACGGG